GAUGAACGCUGGCGGCGUGCUUAACACAUGCAAGUCGAACGAGAAGUGGAGACGGAAACCUUCGGGCGGAAGACUUUAUUUCGAGUGGCGGACGGUGAGUAACGCGUGGGUAACCUGCCUCAUACAGGGGGAUAACAGUUUGAAACGACUGUUAAUACCGCAUAAGACCACAGCACCGCAUGGUGCGGGGGGAAAAACUCCGGUGGUAUGAGAUGGACCCGCGUUCGAUUAGCCAGUUGGCGGGGUAACGGCCCACCAAAGCGACGAUCGAUAGCCGAUCUGAGAGGAUGACCGGCCACAUUGGGACUGAGACACGGCCCAAACUCCUACGGGAGGCAGCAGUGGGGAAUAUUGCACAAUGGGGGAAACCCUGAUGCAGCGACGCCGCGUGAGUGAAGAAGUAUUUCGGUAUGUAAAGCUCUAUCAGCAGGGAAGAAAAUGACGGUACCUGAGUAAGAAGCCCCGGCUAACUACGUG
rnacentral:rRNA from 1 species